UUGGCGGACGGGUGAGUAACGCGUGGAUAACCUGCCGUAUACAGGGGGAUAACACUUAGAAAUAGGUGCUAAUACCGCAUAAGCGCACGGUUCCGCAUGGAACAGUGUGAAAAACUCCGGUGGUAUACGAUGGAUCCGCGUCUGAUUAGCCAGUUGGCGGGGUAACGGCCCACCAAAGCGACGAUCAGUAGCCGGACUGAGAGGUUGGCCGGCCACAUUGGGACUGAGAUACGGCCCAGACUCCUACGGGAGGCAGCAG
rnacentral:rRNA from 1 species